rnacentral:lncRNA from 1 species
AUGAGUAGGAAGUCAAGCAAAGGAGGUAGGAGACCUGCAUGGAUGAGCAAGGAGCUCCUGGCAAAACUCAACCAGAAGAAGGAAGUAUACAGAAAGUGGAAAGGGGGACAGGCCACUUGGGAGGAAUAUAGGAACGUUGUCAGAGGAUGCAGGGAUGUGACGAGGAAGGCUAAGGCCCGUUUGGAAUUAAAUCUGGCWAGRGAYGUCAAGGACARCAAGAAGGGCUUCUUCAAAYACAUCAGUAGCAAGAGGAAGACUAGGGAAAAUGUGGGCCCUUUGCUGAAUGGGGUGGGUGCCCUGGUGACGAAGGAUGCAGAGAAGGCAGAGUUACUGAAUGCCUUCUUUGCUUCAGUCUUUACUGCUCAGGCCAGCCCUCAGGAAUCCCAGAGCCUGGAGGCAAGAGGGAAAGUCUGGAGAAAGGAAGACUUUCCCUUGGUGGAGGAGGAGUGGGUUAGAGAUCAUUUAAGCAAACCUGACACCCACAAAUCCAUGGGUCCCGAUGGGAUGCACCCACGAGUGCUGAGGGAGCUGGCGGAUGUCAUUGCUAAGCCACCCUCCAUCAUCUUUGAAAGGUCAUGGAGGAGAGGAGAGGUGCCUGAGGACUGGAAGAAAGCCAAUGUCACCGCAGUCUUCAAAAAGGGCAAGAAGGAGGACCCACGAAACUACAGGCCAGUCAGCCUCACCUGCAUCCCUGGAAAGGUGAUGGAGCAGCUCAUCCUGGAGGCCAUCUCCAAGCAUGUGGAGGAAAAGAAGGUGAUCAGGAGUAGUCAGCAUGGCUUCACCAAGGGGAAAUCAUGCCUAACCAAUCUGAUAGCCUUCUAUGAUGGAAUGACUGGCUGGGUAGAUGAGGGGAGAGCAGUGGAUGUUGUCUACCUUGACUUCAGCAAGGCUUUUGACACUGCCUCCCAUAACAUCCUCAUAGGGAAGCUCAGGAAGUGUGGGUUAGAUGAGCGGACAGUGAGGUGGAUUGAGAACUGGCUGAAUGGCAGAGCUCAGAGUUGUGAUCAGUGGCACAGAGUCUAG